rnacentral:hammerhead_ribozyme from 1 species
AUCCAGCUGAUGAGUCCUGAAUAGGGCGAAACGCACUUCCUGGAU